AUGCUUGCCCUGGUCGCCACCUUCGUCUUCUCCUGCCUCCUCUUCUUGUCCAAGCCAUGCGCCCGUGACAUGAGACUCUUCCUCGCCUCCAUCUCCCAACAACUCGCGCUCUCGCUGCUCGGAUUCUUGGCCGGCUACAGGCUGCUCGGCGGCGUCGCCUCCAGGGCCACGGCCACGGCCGUGGACGCCAUGCCCCUUAUGCCGUCCUUCAAGAGGAAGCGCCCGGCCGCCAAGCUGGAGACUACGGAUACGACCGGCGAGCCGUCGGUGCUCGACCUCCCGGAGCUGGCCAUCGACUGCAUUCUCGCCAAGCUGCCGCCGGCGGAGCUGCGGAACAUGGCCGCCGUCAGCCGGUCCAUGCGGGAAAGGUGCAGGAGCGAUCACCUCUGGGAGCGCCACAUGUCCGACAAGUGGGGUUCUGUCCUGGGUACCGCCGCGAGGGACGAGUGGAGGUCGUACCUGUCAUCGUCAACCGCGGCCGGCGGCGGCGCGUCGGGGUGCGGGUCUGCUGGCAGCGGCAAGCACCGGAGGUGGGUUGCCGCGCUGUCCUGCGUCUGCCCGGUGGUGUCCUGGAUGCGGCCUAGGGCUGACGGCGGCGCCGGCACGUCCGGGGGGCCUGUGCUGGAUGAUUCCAUCAUGUCGUGGUAUCUCCACCUGGAGAGCAGCGAGUUCUGGUUCCCCGCACAGGUCUACAACCGAGAGCAUGGGCAUGUUGGGUUCAUGAUGUCAUGCUAUGAUGCAGAGCUCAGCUAUGAUUUCCGCACUGACACGUUCCACGCAAGGUAUCCACCACACGGGCGACGAACCGUAGUCUUGGAGGAUGGCGUGCAAUGGGACAGGGUCAGGGCACCUCCCGUCGGAACUCUUGCACAUGACCUGCAUGCCUCUGACUGCUUACAUGAACUACGGCCUGGCGAUAACAUUGAGAUUCAGUGGAGAAGGAACAAGGAGUUCCCAUAUGGCUGGUGGUAUGGAGUUGUUGGCCACUUGGAAUCAUGUGAUGGAAAUGAGCACUUUUGUCGGUGUCAUCUUAGUGACACUGUGGUGCUGGAGUUCAAUCAAUACACGCCUGGCUCAAGAUGGAGGCAGUCCCUGGUGAAUCGGAAGGACCACAGGGAAGAAGGCAACGAGAGUGACGGAUUCUACGGUGGAAUAAGGAAGCUCCAAGACAAGGAUGAAAUCUCAAAGUGGAAGCAGCUAUGGCCAACGGAUAUCCUGGAAUAA
rnacentral:rRNA from 1 species